rnacentral:rRNA from 1 species
AGCAGCCGCGGUAAUUCCAGCUCCAAUAGCGUAUAUUAAAGUUGUUGCAGUUAAAAAGCUCGUAGUUGAAUUUCGGGAUCAAGUCGUCGGUCGUGCCUCGGUACGCACUGGUGACAUUGGUUUCUCCCUUCUGAAGAACCUUGAUGUCAUUAAUUUGGUGUCUUGGGGAAUCAGGACUGUUACUUUGAAAAAUUAGAGUGUUUAAAGCAGGCUCACGCUUGAAUACAUUAGCAUGGAAUAAUGAAAUAGGACGUUUGAUUCUAUUUUGUUGGUUUCUAGGAUCGACGUAAUGAUUAAUAGGGAUAGUUGGGGGCAUUAGUAUUCAAUUGUCAGAGGUGAAAUUCUUGGAUUUAUUGAAGACUAACUACUGCGAAAGCAUUUGCCAAGGAUGUUUUCAUUAAUCAAGAACGAAAGUUAGGGAUCGAAGACGAUCAGAUACCGUCGUAGUCUUAACCAUAAACUAUGCCGACUAGGGAUCGGAUGAUGUUAAUUUUUAAUGUACUCAUUCGCGCCUUACGGG